UUGCUUUGGCAGCACAUAUGCAAAAAGAAAAAAAAUGGAACGAUACAGAGAAGAUUAGCAUGGCCCCUGUACACGGAUGAUGCACAAAUUCACAAAGUGCUCCAUAUAACA